rnacentral:rRNA from 1 species
UCAGGAUGAACGCUGGCGGCGUGCUUAACACAUGCAAGUCGAACGAUGAAGCCCAGCUUGCUGGGUGGAUUAGUGGCGAACGGGUGAGUAACACGUGAGCAACCUGCCCCUGACUCUGGGAUAAGCGCUGGAAACGGCGUCUAAUACUGGAUAUGUGCCAUGGCCGCAUGGUCUGUGGUUGGAAAGAUUUUUCGGUUGGGGAUGGGCUCGCGGCCUAUCAGCUUGUUGGUGAGGUAAUGGCUCACCAAGGCGUCGACGGGUAGCCGGCCUGAGAGGGUGACCGGCCACACUGGGACUGAGACACGGCCCAGACUCCUACGGGAGGCAGCAGUGGGGAAUAUUGCACAAUGGGCGGAAGCCUGAUGCAGCAACGCCGCGUGAGGGACGACGGCCUUCGGGUUGUAAACCUCUUUAGCAGGGAAGAAGCGAGAGUGAC